rnacentral:rRNA from 1 species
AUUGAACGCUGGCGGCAGGCUUAACACAUGCAAGUCGAGCGGGGGAAGGUAGCUUGCUACUGGACCUAGCGGCGGACGGGUGAGUAAUGCUUAGGAAUCUGCCUAUUAGUGGGGGACAACAUCUCGAAAGGGAUGCUAAUACCGCAUACGUCCUACGGGAGAAAGCAGGGGAUCUUCGGACCUUGCGCUAAUAGAUGAGCCUAAGUCGGAUUAGCUAGUUGGUGGGGUAAAGGCCUACCAAGGCGACGAUCUGUAGCGGGUCUGAGAGGAUGAUCCGCCACACUGGGACUGAGACACGGCCCAGACUCCUACGGGAGGCAGCAGUGGGGAAUAUUGGACAAUGGGGGGAACCCUGAUCCAGCCAUGCCGCGUGUGUGAAGAAGGCCUUAUGGUUGUAAAGCACUUUAAG